rnacentral:rRNA from 1 species
UACGGAGGGUACAAGCGUUAAUCGGAAUGACUGGGCGUAAAGCGCGCGUAGACGGCACGAUCAGCCGGUUGUGAAAGCCCCGGGCUCAACCCGGGAACCGCAUCCGGAACUGUCGCGCUGGAGUGCAGGAGAGGAAGGUAGAAUUCCCGGUGUAGCGGUGAAAUGCGUAGAGAUCGGGAGGAAUACCAGUGGCGAAGGCGGCCUUCUGGACUGACACUGACGCUGAGGCGCGAAAGCAUGGGUAGCAAACAGG